UACGAAGGGAGCUAGCGUUGUUCGGAAUCACUGGGCGUAAAGCGCACGUAGGCGGAUGUGUCAGUCAGGGGUGAAAUCCCGGAGCUCAACUCCAGAACUGCCUUUGAUACUGGCGAUCUCGAGUCCGGGAGAGGUGAGUGGAACUGCGAGUGUAGAGGUGAAAUUCGUAGAUAUUCGCAAGAACACCAGUGGCGAAGGCGGCUCACUGGCCCGGAACUGACGCUGAUGUGCGAAAGCGUGGGGAGCAAACAGG
rnacentral:rRNA from 1 species